rnacentral:rRNA from 1 species
AACGAACGCUGGCGGCAGGCCUAACACAUGCAAGUCGAACGCAUCGCAAGAUGAGUGGCGCACGGGUGAGUAACACGUGGGAAUGUACCCUUUGGUUCGGAAUAACGUUUGGAAACGAACGCUAAUACCGGAUGAGCCCUGCGGGGGAAAGAUUUAUCGCCAAAGGAGCAGCCCGCGUCUGAUUAGGUAGUUGGUGGGGUAAAGGCCUACCAAGCCGACGAUAAGUAGCUGGUCUGAGAGGAUGAUCAGCCACACUGGGACUGAGACACGGCCCAGACUCCUACGGGAGGCAGCAGUGGGGAAUAUUGGACAAUGGGCGCAAGCCUGAUCCGGCCAUGCCGCGUGAGUGAUGAAGGCCUUCGGGUUGUAAAGCUCUUUCGCACACGACGAUGAUGACGGUAGUGUGAGAAGAAGCCCCGGCUAACUUCGUGCCAGCCGCCGCCGUAAGAC